rnacentral:rRNA from 1 species
GUGGGGAAUAUUGGACAAUGGGCGAAAGCCUGAUCCAGCCAUGCCGCGUGUGUGAAGAAGGUCUUCGGAUUGUAAAGCACUUUAAGUUGGGAGGAAGGGCAGUAAGUUAAUACCUUGCUGUUUUGACGUUACCAACAGAAUAAGCACCGGCUAACUUCGUGCCAGCAGCCGCGGUAAUACGAAGGGUGCAAGCGUUAAUCGGAAUUACUGGGCGUAAAGCGCGCGUAGGUGGUUCAGCAAGUUGAAGGUGAAAUCCCCGGGCUCAACCUGGGAACUGCCUCCAAAACUACUGAGCUAGAGUACGGUAGAGGGUAGGGGAAUUUCCUGUGUAGCGGUGAAAUGCGUAGAUAUAGGAAGGAACACCAGUGGCGAAGGCGACUACCUGGACUGAUACUGACACUGAGGCACGAAAGCGUGGGGAGCAAACAGGAUUAGAUACCCUGGUAGUCC